CAGAAUUGUUUCAAGAACAGUCUGAAUCCGACAUGGAAAAAAUGAAGAAAAACAGCCUUCCUGUUUAUAAAUCUACAUUCUGACAAAGGAUCAUUUCCUUGAGAUAGGUGGAACCAACAGUCAAAUACAGACACUUUUAAGAAAAGUAAAAAUCUGGCUCAGGUAAGAAAGAAAUUCAGGAGUUCUUAAAUUGCCCUUGGAGUUCUUGGAUUGCAUCAAACUGCUAAAAGACCUCAACAAAAACAGCGUCUUGAAAAUAAAAAUGAAAAUAUUCAGUGAAAAAAAAUUAU